AUUGAACGCUGGCGGCAGGCCUAACACAUGCAAGUCGAGCGGACGAAGGGAGCUCGUUCCUGGCUUCAGCGGCCGACGGGUGAGUAAGGCACAGGAAUAUGCCCGGCCUUGGGGGCUAACGUCCGUACACGGGCGCUAAUAUCGCAUACGUUCUGAGGGUGAAAGUGGGGGAUCUUCGGACCUCACCGUUCUUGAUGUCCCUAGGAUGGAUUAGCUAGUUGGUUGGGUAAAGGCCUACCAAGGCGACGAUCCGUAACAGAUCUGAGAGGCUGAUCGGUCACACUGGAACUGAGACACGGUCCAGACUCCUACGGGAGGCAGCAGUAGGGAAUAUUGGACAAUGGGCGAAAGCCUGACGCAGCCACGCCGCGUGAGUGAAGAAGGUCUUCGGAUUGUAAAGCACUUUUAGUUGGGAAGAACAGAAGUAAGUGUAUCCCUGGCUGUCUUGACGUUACCAACAGAAAAAGCCCCGGCUAACUUCGUG
rnacentral:rRNA from 1 species